rnacentral:tRNA from 1 species
GGUGCAGUGGCUCAUCAGGUUAAAGCCACGGCCUGCAGCGCCGGCAUCCCAUAUGGGUGCUGGUUCAAGUCCUGGCUGCUCCA